rfam:Ruminococcus sp. 18P13 draft genome.
UGCCCGGAUAAUCGUAUUCUAAAGACAGCUGGUGGCUUCGCCGUAAAUCCAGCCGAGGAGUGCACGUCAAGAUAAAUUGACUGUCCCUUCUCGUAUACACGGGAAGGGAUUUUUGUGUUCUUCU